GGCCGUGUGGUGUAGUGGUAGCAUACUUGCUUUGGGGUUAAUUCCUCAUCAUUGAUUAAUGAUUGCAAGUGGUCCCAGGUUCGAGCCCUGGCUCGGCCC